rfam:Niastella vici strain DJ57 contig18, whole genome shotgun sequence.
CGCUUAUCAAGAAAGGCUGAGGGAAAUGGCCCGAUGAAGCCUUGACAACCUGCAUGUUGGUUUUAAAAAACCGCUGUAAGGUGCCAACUCCAUCCCGCGGAAGGCGGGACAGAUAAGUC